AGAGUUUGAUCAUGGCUCAGGAUGAACGCUGGCGGCGUGCUUAACACAUGCAAGUCGAACGGGGAUACGCGCUGAAGAAGCUUCGGCGGAUUCUUGCGUAUCUUAGUGGCGGACGGGUGAGUAACGCGUGGGUAACCUGCCUUGUACUGGGGGAUAACAGUUGGAAACGACUGCUAAUACCGCAUAAGCGCCCAGUAUCGCAUGAUACAGAGUGAAAAACUGAGGUGGUACAAGAUGGACCCGCGUCUGAUUAGCUGGUUGGUGGGGUAACGGCCCACCAAGGCGACGAUCAGUAGCCGGCCUGAGAGGGUGAACGGCCACAUUGGGACUGAGACACGGCCCAAACUCCUACGGGAGGCAGCAGUGGGGAAUAUUGCACAAUGGGGGAAACCCUGAUGCAGCGACGCCGCGUGAGUGAAGAAGUAUUUCGGUAUGUAAAGCUCUAUCAGCAGGGAAGAAAAUGACGGUACCUGACUAAGAAGCCCCGGCUAACUACGUGCCAGCAGCCGCGGUAAUACGUAGGGGGCAAGCGUUAUCCGGAUUUACUGGGUGUAAAGGGAGCGUAGACGGUAUGGCAAGUCUGAAGUGAAAACCCGAGGCUCAACCCCGGGACUGCUUUGGAAACUGUCAAACUGGAGUGCAGGAGAGGUAAGUGGAAUUCCUAGUGUAGCGGUGAAAUGCGUAGAUAUUAGGAGGAACACCAGUGGCGAAGGCGGCUUACUGGACUGUAACUGACGUUGAGGCUCGAAAGCGUGGGGAGCAAACAGGAUUAGAUACCCUGGUAGUCCACGCCGUAAACG
rnacentral:rRNA from 1 species